AUGCUCGUUACGCGCAGCAGGACGGAAAGACCCCGGGACCUUUACUAUAGUUUGGUAUUGGUGAUUGGGACGGUUUGUGUAGGAUAGGUGGGAGACGUUGAUGCGGCCACGCUAGUGGUGGUGGAGUCGUUGGUGAAAUACCACUCUGAUUGUUCUGGUUAUCUCACUGUGGACCGUGAUCCGGUUCAAGGACAGUGCCUGAUGGGUAGUUUGACUGGGGCGGUCGCCUCCCAAAGAGUAACGGAGGCGUUCAAAGGUUCCCUCAGAAUGGUU
rnacentral:rRNA from 1 species